rnacentral:lncRNA from 1 species
AAAUUGUCUUACAACUCGCUAAAAGAAUUUUUAAUGAAAAGAACUCAAAUUGACUUAUUCCUGACUAAUCAUUGGGCUUUUUAGAUUUUAUAUACUUUGUGUGAUUAUCAUUUUAGCACUAAGGCAUAAAAAUUAGGUUUUUUUUUGAAAUUCACUUUUUUUUUUGAAAUUCACUUAAAAAUGUGAAAAUGCGAAAAAUUCCUU